AGAAUCAACGCUGGCGGCGUGCCUAACACAUGCAAGUCGCACGAGAAAGGGACUUCGGUCCUGAGUACAGUGGCGCACGGGUGAGUAACACGUGAAUAAUCUACCUCCGAGUGGGGAAUAACUGAGAGAAAUCUUAGCUAAUACCGCAUAACACUUACGAGUCAAAGCAGCAAUGCGCUUGGAGAGGAGUUCGCGGCAGAUUAGUUAGUUGGCGGGGUAAUGGCCCACCAAGACGAUGAUCUGUAUCCGGCCUGAGAGGGCGCACGGACACACUGGAACUGAAACACGGUCCAGACUCCUACGGGAGGCAGCAGUGGGGAAUUUUGCGCAAUGGGGGAAACCCUGACGCAGCAACGCCGCGUGGAGGAUGAAAUCCCUUGGGAUGUAAACUCCUUUCGAUCGGGAAGAUAUGACGGUACCGAGAGAAGAAGCCCGGCUAACUUCGUAGCCAGCAGCCGC
rnacentral:rRNA from 1 species